GAAAGAUGGCUUUGGCUAUCACUCUGGGAUGGACCUGCGGUGCAUUAGCUAGUUGGUAAGGUAACGGCUUACCAAGGCGAUGAUGCAUAGCCGAGUUGAGAGACUGAUCGGCCACAAUGGAACUGAGACACGGUCCAUACUCCUACGGGAGGCAGCAGUAGGGAAUCUUCCACAAUGGGCGCAAGCCUGAUGGAGCAACACCGCGUGAGUGAAGAAGGGUUUCGGCUCGUAAAGCUCUGUUGUUGGAGAAGAACGUGCGUGAGAGUAACUGUUCACGCAGUGACGGUAUCCAACCAGAAAGUCACGGCUAACUACGUGCCAGCAGCCGCGGUAAUACGUGGGUGGCAAGCGUUAUCCGGAUUUAUUGGGCGUAAAGCGAGCGCAGGCGGUUGCUUAGGUCUGAUGUGAAAGCCUUCGGCUUAACCGAAGAAGUGCAUCGGAAACCGGGCGACUUGAGUGCAGAAGAGGACAGUGGAACUCCAUGUGUAGCGGUGGAAUGCGUAGAUAUAUGGAAGAACACCAGUGGCGAAGGCGGCUGUCUGGUCUGCAACUGACGCUGAGGCUCGAAAGCAUGGGUAGCGAACAGGAUUAGAUACCCUGGUAGUCUAUGCCGUAAACGAUGAGUGCUAGGUGUUGGAGGGUUUCCGCCCUUCA
rnacentral:rRNA from 1 species